rnacentral:tRNA from 1 species
GGGCCACACAUAGCGCAGUGGCAGAACAUCUGCUUGGCAUGCAGAAAGAACCAGGUUCAAUCCCUGGAAUGUCCA